rnacentral:rRNA from 1 species
UACGUAGGGGGCAAGCGUUGUCCGGAGUUACUGGGCGUAAAGGGCGCGCAGGCGGUCUGCCAAGUUCGGAGUGACAGUCACCAGCUUAACUGGUGAAGGACUUUGAAAACUGGCGGACUUGAGAGCGAGAGAGGGACAUGGAAUUCCGGGUGGAGCAGUGAAAUGCGUAGAGAUCCGGAGGAACACCAAGGCUAAGGCAGUGUCCUGGUUCGUAUCUGACGCUGAGGCGCGAAAGCCAGGGGAGCGAACG